rnacentral:rRNA from 1 species
GAUUGAACGCUGGCGGCAUGCCUUACACAUGCAAGUCGAACGGCAGCACGGGUGCUUGCACCUGGUGGCGAGUGGCGAACGGGUGAGUAAUACAUCGGAACAUGUCCUGUAGUGGGGGAUAGCCCGGCGAAAGCCGGAUUAAUACCGCAUACGAUCUACGGAUGAAAGCGGGGGACCUUCGGGCCUCGCGCUAUAGGGUUGGCCGAUGGCUGAUUAGCUAGUUGGUGGGGUAAAGGCCUACCAAGGCGGCGAUCAGUAGCUGGUCUGAGAGGACGACCAGCCACACUGGGACUGAGACACGGCCCAGACUCCUAGGGGAGGCAGCAGUGGGGAAUUUUGGACAAUGGGCGAAAGCCUGAUCCAGCAAUGCCGCGUGUGUGAAGAAGGCCUUCGGGUUGUAAAGCACUUUUGUCCGGAAAGAAAUCCUUGGCUCUAAUACAGUCGGGGGAUGACGGUACCGGAAGAAUAAGCACCGGCUAACUACGUGCCAGCAGCCGCGGUAAUACGUAGGGUGCGAGCGUUAAUCGGAAUUACUGGACGUAAAGCGUGCGCAGGCGGUUUGCUAAGACCGAUGUGAAAUCCCCGGGCUCAACCUGGGAACUGCAUUGGUGACUGGCAGGCUAGAGUAUGGCAGAGGGGGGUAGAAUUCCACGUGUAGCAGUGAAAUGCGUAGAGAUGUGGAGGAAUACCGAUGGCGAAGGCAGCCCCCUGGGCCAAUACUGACGCUCAUGCACGAAAGCGUGGGGAGCAAACAGGAUUAGAUACCCUGGUAGUCCACGCCCUAAACGAUGUCAACUAGUUGUUGGGGAUUCAUUUCCUUAGUAACGUAGCUAACGCGUGAAGUUGACCGCCUGGGGAGUACGGUCGCAAGAUUAAAACUCAAAGGAAUUGACGGGGACCCGCACAAGCGGUGGAUGAUGUGGAUUAAUUCGAUGCAACGCGAAAAACCUUACCUACCCUUGACAUGGUCGGAAUCCUGCUGAGAGGCGGGAGUGCUCGAAAGAGAACCGGCGCACAGGUGCUGCAUGGCUGUCGUCAGCUCGUGUCGUGAGAUGUUGGGUUAAGUCCCGCAACGAGCGCAACCCUUGUCCUUAGUUGCUACGCAAGAGCACUCUAAGGAGACUGCCGGUGACAAACCGGAGGAAGGUGGGGAUGACGUCAAGUCCUCAUGGCCCUUAUGGGUAGGGCUUCACACGUCAUACAAUGGUCGGAACAGAGGGUUGCCAACCCGCGAGGGGGAGCUAAUCCCAGAAAACCGAUCGUAGUCCGGAUUGCACUCUGCAACUCGAGUGCAUGAAGCUGGAAUCGCUAGUAAUCGCGGAUCAGCAUGCCGCGGUGAAUACGUUCCCGGGUCUUGUACACACCGCCC